AAACGACUCUCGGCAACGGAUAUCUCGGCUCUCGCAUCGAUGAAGAACGUAGCAAACUGCGAUACUUGGUGUGAAUUGCAGAAUCCCGUGAACCAUCGAGUCUUUGAACGCAAGUUGCGCCCGAAGCCGUUAGGCCGAGGGCACGUCUGCCUGGGCGUCACGCAUCGCGUCG
rnacentral:rRNA from 2 species